rnacentral:rRNA from 1 species
UACGGGGGGAGCAAGCGUUGUUCGGAUUUACUGGGCGUAAAGGGCGCGUAGGCGGUCAGCACAAGUCAGUUGUGAAAUCUCCGGGCUUAACUCGGAAAGGUCAACUGAUACUGGUGCGACUAGAGUGCAGAAGGGGCAACUGGAAUUCUCGGUGUAGCGGUGGAAAUGCGUAGAUAUCGAGAGGAACACCUGCGGCGAAGGCGGUGCUGGGCUGACACGUGACGCUGAU